rnacentral:lncRNA from 10 species
GGUCCAUCCAUUGGGUUAUAAAAUCUUUACAAGGAGAAAUUCCUGUGAAGUCAUUUUCCUGCAGAGCCGAGAGUUAGGGCACUGUGAGAAGUGCAGCAGGUCCUGGAGAGCAUUCGUGGGAGAAGGGAAGCAGCAAGUGGUGCAGGAGGAGAAGGGGAGGAAAGGAAGAACCGCGAAUGCGCCUGAUUGGGAAAAGAGAUGAAAUGGUGAAGUAUGAAGUAUGACCUUCCGGGAGCCUCCACCAGAAAAGGAAGAAAGUCUCAGACCGGCAUUCGUACAAUCCCUAAACACACCGCACAUGCUCACUUUCCAAGG